CACGUGAGCAACCUGCCCCGAAGACUGGGAUAACACCGGGAAACCGGUGCUAAUACCGGGUACCCCCACCAGGCCGCAUGACCAGGUGAGGAAAUGGCUGGGUCUAAUACACUCAGUCCGCUUCGGGAGGGGCUCGCGGGCUAUCAGCUUGUUGGUGGGGUAACGGCCUACCAAGGCGACGACGGCUAGCUGGUCUGAGAGGACGACCAGCCACACUGGGACUGAGACACGGCCCAG
rnacentral:rRNA from 1 species